rnacentral:tRNA from 1 species
UGGAAUGUAGUUCAGUGGUAAAUCACUUACCUGGUGAGCAGAGAACCCUGGGUUCAAUCCCCAGCACUGCAG